UACGGAGGGGGCAAGCGUUAUUCGGAAUUAUUGGGCGUAAAGGGCGCGUAGGCGGCCCUGUAAGCCAAAGGUGAAAUCCCUCGGCUCAACUGAGGAACUGCCUUUGGAACUGCAAGGCUUGAGGCCGGGAGGGGGUAGCGGAAUUCCCAGUGUAGCGGUGAAAUGCGUAGAUACUGGGAGGAACACCGGUGGCGAAGGCGGCUACCUGGACCGGUUCUGACGCUGAUGCGCGAAAGCGUGGGUAGCAAACAGG
rnacentral:rRNA from 1 species